ensembl:lncRNA proline rich 13
GCUGCCCCUAGUUAAACGCGCUGGGUUAAACUAGCCGUCGAAAUUAUACAGAAGUCUAUAUCCGUAACAAUAAACACUUCAUCUAAAUACGGAGUCUAUUUUUUUUUUUGAAGAUGUAUUAGCUGCGACGUUGAUUUAUAACGCUCAAUUGGCCUUUUUUUAUACACUGACGCCACCCACACAUAACCACCACCCAUUGAACCCGGAAGAGCACAGUCACUGCGUGCCUCAACUUCACUACGAGACGUUCACACUAAAGCAAGAAAGAACUUUGAUCGGGAUUAACUUUCAAUAAUGUGGCCUAACCAACGUCCUCCAAACCCUGGAUGCCCUCCGACUACUUAUAACCCUGCCUACCCUGGGGACCCUAAUCCAGUUUAUCCUCCUGGCAUGAACCCAGCCAUGCCACCAGGAACUAUGCCUUAUGGGCCUUCUGGGCAGCCGGUUUACCCCACAGGUCCCGUCUACCCUGGUAAUCCUGUCGGCCCUCAGAUUAUGGUGCAUCCAGGUGGAGUGCACCCAGGGCUGUACCCACAGCCUGGAGGUCAUAACCACAUGCCAGGGGGGGUAGUAGGGGGCUUAGCAGGUGCCGGGAUGCUAGUGGGGGGGCACAAGAUGCACAAGAAGAUGAAGAAGGCUCACAAGAAACACAAGAAGCAUGGGAAGCAUUCCUCAAGCAGUAGCAGCAGCAGCAGCGACUCAGACUGAAGUUGAAGUCGAAGCCCGAGAGGAACACAUGUAUUGUGACACUGAAUAAUUAAAUGGCUUCUACAUGGCAUAUUAAGGAACUUUCUUUUGAAUAAUAGAUAUACUAUGAUAUCUGACAGCCAUUGCUUAUUAAAAACAAUUAUUUAUUUUUAAUUUUUACAGAAUAUGUUCACUUAUAUUUGUCUAGAAAUUUUAUUAUUUUUAUUCUAAUUAUAUUCUUAAUUCAGUUUAAUGCUGUUGUUAAAUCAUAAUACCAUGAAAUCAUAGAAUAUGGAUGGUUUCGAAUAAUACCAUAGAAAUCAUAAUACCAUGUUAGCAAGAAAUCAUCUCAAGCAAAGUUAGCCUGGAACACAUCUAUAAUAUUAUCAUUAUAUUAUUAACUUUAACAUCUUGAAAAUGUAGAUAUUUGUUAUCCUUCUUGACUAAAAUGUUCAUGACCAAAUGAGCAGCUGCUGUAUGUUAGUUACAAAAUGUUUUUUUCCAACAGGAGCUAUUGCUGACACUUUAGGCCAUUUAUGCACAUGCUGCAUGAUGUACAUUGUGUGUGGGUGCAAUGUCUUGAGCGAGAUCACGCAAGCCCAUUUUGUCCCAGAAGACAAAAGUGCAUUAAUAAAAAUGUUCUGUAAAGCUAAAAAAUG